UGGGAUAGCUCAGUCAGUAGAGCAUGAGACUCUUAAUCUCCGGUUCAUGGGUUCAAGCCCCACGUUGUGUGAAAAA